rfam:Dipodomys ordii contig_5571, whole genome shotgun sequence.
GGUGGCUCAGUGGUAAAGCGCUUGCAUUACAUGCAUGAGGCCCUGGGUUCGAUUCCUCAGCACCA